rnacentral:rRNA from 1 species
UACGAAGGGUGCAAGCGUUACUCGGAAUUACUGGGCGUAAAGCGUGCGUAGGUGGUUUUUUAAGUCCGUUGUGAAAGCCCUGGGCUCAACCUGGGAAUGGCAGUGGAUACUGGAAAGCUAGAGUGCGGUAGAGGGUAGUGGAAUUCCCCGGUGUAGCAGUGAAAUGCGUAGAGAUCGGGAGGAACACCAGUGGCGAAGGCGGCUACCUGGACCAGCACUGACACUGAGGCACGAAAGCGUGGGGAGCAAACAGGG